rnacentral:tRNA from 1 species
GGGGCACGCGCUGGGUCCGCGGGCAUGCUUUGCAAGCAAGCUGAGCUCGGUUCGAUUCCGAGGUGCUCCACCA